AGUGACGCGGACUGAUGGAUGUCCGUCUAAGCAGUGAGGCUGAUGUGUAGGCAAAUCCGCACAUCGUAAGGCUGGGCUGUGAUGGGGAGCGAAAAUUAUAGUAGCGAAGGUCAUGAUCUCAGACUGCCAAGAAAAGCCUCUAGCCAGGAGAAGGUGCCCGUACCGCAAACCGACACAGGUAGGCGAGAAGAGAAUUCUAAGGCGCGCGGAAGAACUCUCGUUAAGGAACUCGGCAAAAUGACCCCGUAACUUCGGGAGAAGGGGUGCCUCGGUAGGGUGAAUAGCCCGAGGGGGCCGCAGUGAAAAGGCCCAAGCGACUGUUUAGCAAAAACACAGGUCUGUGCGAAGCCGCAAGGCGAAGUAUACGGGCUGACGCCUGCCCGGUGCUGGAAGGUUAAGGGGAGUGGUAAGCCUUCGGGCGAAGCUAUGAACCGAAGCCCCAGUAAACGGCGGCCGUAACUAUAACGGUCCUAAGGUAGCGAAAUUCCUUGUCAGGUAAAUUCUGACCCGCACGAAUGGCGUAACGACUUGGGCGCUGUCUCAACGAGAGAUCCGGUGAAAUUUUAAUACCUGUGAAGAUGCAGGUUACCCGCGACAAGACGGAAAGACCCCAUGGAGCUUUACUGCAGCUUGAUAUUGAAUUUGGGUACGAUCUGUACAGGAUAGGUGGGAGCCGUAGAACCUUGAGCGCCAGCUUGAGGGGAGGCAUCCUUGGGAUACCACCCUGAUCGUAUCUAGGUUCUAACUUGGUACCGUGAUCCGGUACGAGGACAGUGUCAGGUGGGCAGUUUGACUGGGGCGGUCGCCUCCUAAAGAGUAACGGAGGCGCCCCAAGGUUCCCUCAGAAUGGUUGGAAAUCAUUCGAAGAGUGCAAAGGCAGAAGGGAGCUUGACUGCGAGACCUACAAGUCGAGCAGGGACGAAAGUCGGGCUUAGUGAUCCGGUGGUACCGCAUGGAAGGGCCAUCGCUCAACGGAUAAAAGCUACCCUGGGGAUAACAGGCUUAUCUCCCCCAAGAGUCCACAUCGACGGGGAGGUUUGGCACCUCGAUGUCGGCUCAUCGCAUCCUGGGGCUGAAGUAGGUCCCAAGGGUUGGGCUGUUCGCCCAUUAAAGCGGUACGCGAGCUGGGUUCAGAACGUCGUGAGACAGUUCGGUCCCUAUCUGUCGUGGGCGUAGGAAAUUUGAGAGGAGCUGUCCUUAGUACGAGAGGACCGGGAUGGACGUACCGCUGGUGUACCAGUUGUUCCGCCAGGAGCACCGCUGGGUAGCUAUGUACGGAAGGGAUAAGCGCUGAAAGCAUCUAAGCGUGAAGCCCCCCUCAAGAUGAGA
rnacentral:rRNA from 1 species